ensembl:lncRNA
CACCAAUUCAGUGGAGCCUUGUGGUUUCUGCUGGAUUGAACUGCUGCUACUGAUUCAUGUUCGGUGUUUGCCAAUUGGACUGGACUGCCACUACUGAUUCAUGGGAAGAACUACUUCUAAGCAGCCUUGUUAGGAUGAGUGGUCCAGUCUCUAUAUUCUCAUGUUGUAUAAGAGGCUCUGCCAAUCAAUGCUUCCAAUCAUGAUUGUGUGCAGUGUCCAGAUGGUGCAUGUGGGGAACGAAGAGGAACAUACAAUAAGGGACUCACGAAGUUGUCCCAGCUCCACUUCACCCAUGCAGAGAUGCAGAUAUUGAAAGCAGCGCCCUUCGCUGAGUUCACACUUGAACGUCUUCAGCCUUGCAUCAUGGAUACAGUACCAGCAUGAACUCUCUUGCACUAUAUUGGGAUUGCAGAGGCCUACAGCUUUUUCUGGGGACCUCCUGGAAUCUCUGCUGCUCCACCACACAGAUACCCAUUGUCAGACUGGUCACUCUCUCACGAAAACUUUGCUGGCACAUUCCUUUUUAUAACUAACUUUGGAAGAUGACUAACCUGUGGAUGGGGGACAAGAGGAAGGGAGUACUGAGGGUCUAUGCAUUUGGAUAUCAUCCUUGCUGUGGGUGAAAGGGUACAGAUUUGAAUACAGUUCUUUCUUUAAAUCUC